CAGCCCGCUCCCGGUAAAACGGGACGGCCCGCCAGAGGACCCCUAAACUCUGUUUCUAUAUGUAACUUCUGAGUAAAACCAUAAAUAAAUCAAAACUUUCAACAACGGAUCUCUUGGUUCUGGCAUCGAUGAAGAACGCAGCAAAAUGCGAUAAGUAAUGUGAAUUGCAGAAUUCAGUGAAUCAUCGAAUCUUUGAACGCACAUUGCGCCCGCCAGUAUUCUGGCGGGCAUGCCUGUUCGAGCGUCAUUUCAACCCUCAAGCCCCCGGGUUUGGUGUUGGGGAUCGGCGAGCCCUUGCGGCAAGCCGGCCCCGAAAUCUAGUGGCGGUCUCGCUGCAGCUUCCAUUGCGUAGUAGUAAAACCCUCGCAACUGGUACGCGGCGCGGCCAAGCCGUUAAACCCCCAACUUCUGAAUGUUGACCUCGGAUCAGGUAGGAAUACCCGCUGAACUUAA
rnacentral:rRNA from 1 species